CCGCAAUGGGGGAAACCCUGACGAAGCGACGCCGCGUGCAGGAUGACGGCCCUCGGGUUGUAAGCUGCUGUCAGCUGGGAAGAAAAAGCAGCCAACUAAUACCUGGCAGCCUUGACGGUACCAGCAGAGGAAGCCACGGCUAACUCUGUGCCAGCAGCCGCGGUAAUACAGAGGUGGCAAGCGUUGUUCGGAUUUAUUGGGCGUAAAGGGUUCGUAGGCGGUUUGAAAAGUCGGAUGUGAAAUCUCACAGCUCAACUGUGAAACUGCAUUCGAAACUCUCAAACUUGAGCAUGAGAGGGGUAAAGGGAAUUCUCAGUGUAAGGGUGGAAUCUGCAGAGAUUGGGAAGAACACCAGUCGCGAAGGCGCUUUACUGGCUCAUUACUGACGCUGAGGGACGAAAGCUAGGGUAGCUAAAGGGA
rnacentral:rRNA from 1 species